AUUGAACGCUGGCGGCAGGCCUAACACAUGCAAGUCGAGCGGUAGAGAGGUGCUUGCAUCUCUUGAGAGCGGCGGACGGGUGAGUAAUGCCUAGGAAUCUGCCUAGUGGUGGGGGAUAAACGUUCGGAAACGGACGCUAAUACCGCAUACGUCCUACGGGAGAAAGCGGGGGAUCUUCGGACCUCGCGCCAUUAGAUGAGCCUAGGUCGGAUUAGCUAGUUGGUGAGGUAAUGGCUCACCAAGGCGACGAUCCGUAACUGGUCUGAGAGGAUGAUCAGUCA
rnacentral:rRNA from 1 species